rnacentral:pre_miRNA from 1 species
GCCGUCCUCCCCAACAAGAUCCUGGUGCUGAGUGAUGACUCGCAACUCCAGCAUCAGUGAUUUUGUUGAAGAGGGCAGCCU